GGCGGUAUAGAAGUUACCCCCAUUCCCAGGUGGGUGGCGUCUCUUGCCUGGAGGUGGGAGUUGCCUCUCUACUGGAUGCUGGGGCAUAUGAGCUACAUCUGAAACCCAUGUGGGAGGGUCUCCAUCCUGGAGAGGCAAGUCCCCUCUACCCUGGCUGCAGUGGUGUAGGAGUUACCCUCUACACCCAGGUGAGAGGGGUCUCCUGCCUCUAGUGGCGAGUCCCCUCUACCCGGCAAUGUCCAGUACAUGAACUCCGCUGAUAACUAGGUGGAAGGGAUCUGCCGUCUGGAGGGUGAAGUCCCCACUCCCUUGGCUCUGGCUGCAUAGGAGCUCUCCCAACAUCCAAGAUAUGGGGUCUCCCGAAUGCAGGGGCAAGUAUGCUCUACACUGGAUACAGGGAUAUAGGAGAUCCCCCAAACACCCCGAUGGGAACAGUCUCCCACCUGGAGCAAUGAGUCCCUGGCUGUGGCUGUAUACAAGCUCUUGCAGACACCCAGGUGGGAGGGGUCUUCCACCUGAAGGGGCGAGUCCCCUCUACCCGGGCUAAGGGGGUAUAGGAGUUAGUCCCUUUCCCAGGUGGGAGGUGUUUCUCUCCUGGAGGUGCGAGUUGCCUCUACCAUUGCUGCUGGGGUAUAUGAGCUCCACCUGACACUCAGGUGGGAGGCAUCUUCCACCUGGAGGGGCGAGUCCACUUUUCCCUGGCUGCAGAGGUUAAGGAUCUUCCCCUGACACCCAAGUGGGAGGAGUCUCUCCCAUAGAGGCGUGACUUCCCUCUACUCUGGCUGAGGGGGUGUACCAGCUCUCCCAUAUGCGCAGGUGGGAGGGGUCUCCUGCUUGGAGG
rnacentral:lncRNA from 1 species